rnacentral:misc_RNA from 1 species
UCCGAGUUGACCCCGGCAGUCUUCUACGAGUCCCCGGCAUUACCCGCUGGCAACAUGGAACAGGGGUUGCGCUCGUUGCGCCACUUAAGGCAACACCUCACGGCACGAGCUGACGACAGCCAUGCAGCACCUGUGCGGGCCCCCGAAAGGGCACCGGCUUUCACCAGCUUUACCCCGCAUGUCAAGCCCUGGUAAGGUUCUUCGCGUUGCGUCGAAUUAAGCCACAUGCUCCGCCGCUUGUGCGGGCCCCCGUCAAUUCCCUUGAGUUUUAGCCUUGCGGCCGUACUCCCCAGGCGGGGUGCUUAAUGCGUUAGCUUCGGCACGGACGGAGUCGACACCGCCCACACCUAGCAUCCAUCGUUUACGGCGUGGACUAC